rnacentral:rRNA from 1 species
UACGUAGGUGGCAAGCGUUGUCCGGAUUUAUUGGGUUUAAAGGGUGCGUAGGCGGCCUUAUAAGUCAGUGCUGAAAUAUCCCGGCUUAACCGGGAGGGUGGCAUUGAUACUGUAGGGCUUGAGUGUAGUCGAGGUAGGCGGAAUUGACGGUGUAGCGGUGAAAUGCUUAGAUAUCGUCAAGAACACCGAUAGUGUAGACAGCUUACUAGGCUACAACUGACGCUGAGGCACGAAAGUGUGGGGAUCAAGCAGG